UACGAAGGGGGCUAGCGUUGUUCGGAAUUACUGGGCGUAAAGCGCACGUAGGCGGAUUGUUAAGUGAGGGGUGAAAUCCCAGGGCUCAACCCUGGAACUGCCUUUCAUACUGGCAAUCUCGAGUCCGAGAGAGGUGGGUGGAAUUCCGAGUGUAGAGGUGAAAUUCGUAGAUAUUCGGAGGAACACCAGUGGCGAAGGCGGCUCACUGGACCGGCAUUGACGCUGAGGUGCGAAAGCGUGGGGAGCAAACAGGAUUAGAAACCCGUGUAGU
rnacentral:rRNA from 1 species